AGUGAACGCUGGCGGUAGGCCUAACACAUGCAAGUCGAACGGCAGCACAGUAAGAGCUUGCUCUUACGGGUGGCGAGUGGCGGACGGGUGAGGAAUACAUCGGAAUCUACUUUUUCGUGGGGGAUAACGUAGGGAAACUUACGCUAAUACCGCAUACGACCUACGGGUGAAAGCAGGGGAUCUUCGCACCUUGCGCGAUUGAAUGAGCCGAUGACGGAUUAGCUAGUUGGCGGGGUAAAGGCCCACCAAGGCGACGAUCCGUAGCUGGUCUGAGAGGAUGAUCACCGACACUGGAACUGAGCCACGGUCCAGACUCCUACGGGAGGCAGCAGUGGGGAAUAUUGGACAAUGGGCGCAAGCCUGAUCCAGCCAUACCGCGUGGGUGAAGAAGGCCUUCGGGUUGUAAAGCCCUUUUGUUGGGAAAGAAAAGCAGCAGGUUAAUACCCCGCUGUUCUGACGGUACCCAAAGAAUAAGCACCGGCUAACUUCGUG
rnacentral:rRNA from 1 species